GUGGGGAAUAUUGGACAAUGGGGGGAACCCUGAUCCAGCCAUGCCGCGUGUGUGAAGAAGGCCUUUUGGUUGUAAAGCACUUUAAGCGAGGAGGAGGCUACCGAGAUUAAUACUCUUGGAUAGUGGACGUUACUCGCAGAAUAAGCACCGGCUAACUCUGUGCCAGCAGCCGCGGUAAUACAGAGGGUGCAAGCGUUAAUCGGAUUUACUGGGCGUAAAGCGCGCGUAGGUGGCCAAUUAAGUCAAAUGUGAAAUCCCCGAGCUUAACUUGGGAAUUGCAUUCGAUACUGGUUGGCUAGAGUAUGGGAGAGGAUGGUAGAAUUCCAGGUGUAGAGGUGAAAUGCGUAGAGAUCUGGAGGAAUACCGAUGGCGAAGGCAGCCAUCUGGCCUAAUACUGACACUGAGGUGCGAAAGCAUGGGGAGCAAACAGGAUUAGAAACCCUGGUAGUCC
rnacentral:rRNA from 1 species